CAGAGGAUGAAGAGGAACUGUAUUUAAUGCUACUUAAGUUAGUCUGAUUUGGAUUCUUGCUACCAAAAUAUGAGGAAAGGGUUUAGCAGGAUAUAAGUUCAGUCUAUAGGUGUUUGAAGGGUGUUCACAGGAUUUGGCCUGAGACAUGGGGAGCACCCAGAGGACUGGAGUACAGCGUGCUGAGGAAACACUUCCAUAGGAGGAGCAAAGCCUGUGUGAAAUGUGCCUUCAGCUGGACAUGGAAACUGCUGAGCUGUUUCUGAGCCAAUACAGAAUACUAAGAAGAGGUGCAAGUUUGGGCUACUGGGAGGUUCCAGUAUCUGCUAGGAAUUAUGGCCCUGAACCAGGCCUUUAUGAUUGGAUGUGAUGUUAGCUAUGGAACACACAGCCUCCUGCUGCAAGUCUUAUUCAACAGUUCAGAUGGGAUUUGUGUUGUGUAACUUGAGCCACAGAUUAUUUGAAGUGGUUUGAUACAAUUUUCAAAGGCGCAUCAAGCACAGCCAAAAGACAAUGCAAGAAUUGGCAUUUGCUGACUGACUCCGUUUUCUUCUCCAUCUGGUAAAGACAAGGGGAAGACAGAGACUUAAGUCCCAAAAUGGAAAAGGAGAAUUGCUCAAGCUGAAGAAAUAUUAAAGAAGAAGAAACCCAUCAGUUUAGUCAAUGCACGAAAUGCAAUGUGAAAUGAAGCUAUUAAUGCUGUAAUGAAGAACCUGUUCCAGAAUAAUCCUUAUUUCCAUUGUUUAUGGUACAGUUAUGCCUAUUUCUCUGAAGCUUUUCCCCCUGUCUGAAGAGGAUUCACCUGGCUGGCAGCCAUAUGGAGUCACAGCACAGUGGGAUUGUACUGCUCAUAUUUAUCUGGAAUUGUUCUCUAAGAGCAGUGAAGUUCACCAGGAACAGAAGUUAAAGGCAAAUUUCUCACACAUAUCCUAAUGACUAUGUCCCACUCACACUCCCUGGAGAAGAAACAAUAAAGGAGCACUAAAGCUUCCCCAUUCCUUUGGAAAGGGCACUGGAGUCCGAGGUCUUCUCUGGUACUUUUUAAGCAUUAUUACCUCAGACUAGGAGCUCGUUACACUGAAACAAAAGUUAACAAAAAUCCCCCCUCUUCCCAUGAUCUGUAUUCUCUUUCCCCUCUCUUUUAUCACCCACUUCUCUCUCUAAAGAACUAGUUUUGAAAUUCUUCUCUGGAAGUUAUUAAACAGGUGCUGUUUUUGACACCACUCAC